rnacentral:misc_RNA from 1 species
CAGAAGUAAUUGGCUGAUGCGUUGUCACCAACUUCAUGUGCCAGGGCUGAUGCAGCCUGGAGUGCCGCCACCCAAAGCCCACCACAAUAUGCACUCACACCAGAAACAGACCAUGCGUCAUAGGUUUGAUCAGGGAAUCCCUCAUUCUCGAUCAUCCCAUCCCCAUCCUUAUCAAACUGAUCCAUAUAAGCUAUUGCAACAUAUACCGAAGGCCAAACAGCUUUAGCGAAACUUUUGUCACCGGUAGCGACUACAUCCCUGUAUAUCUGGAGAACAAAUUUAGA